UCGAGAAUUUUUCUCAAUGGGGGAAACCCUGAAGGAGCGACGCCGCGUGGAGGAUGAAGGUCUUCGGAUUGUAAACUCCUGUCAUUUGGGAACAAUUGUCACGCGUUAACUGCGCGGGGCUUGAUAGUACCAGAAGAGGAAGAGACGGCUAACUCUGUGCCAGCAGCCGCGGUAAUACAGAGGUCUCAAGCGUUGUUCGGAUUCAUUGGGCGUAAAGGGUGCGUAGGUGGCGAGGCAAGUCGGAUGUGAAAUCCCGGAGCUCAACUCCGGAACUGCAUUCGAUACUGCCCUGCUCGAGUACUGGAGAGGAGAUUGGAAUUUACGGUGUAGCAGUGAAAUGCGUAGAUAUCGUAAGGAAGACCAGUGGCGAAGGCGAAUCUCUGGACAGUUACUGACACUGAGGCACGAAGGCCAGGGGAGCAAACGGG
rnacentral:rRNA from 1 species